UCAGAUACAAGUGUACAUAUUACUAUUGUUGCAGAAACUUUGACAACCUAUAAUGAAAAUUUAAAAUGUCUCCAGACAUGAAAAUAUUUAAAUACGCACUCAUCCUAACACAUCAGAGAUAUAAUUAAUACAACUUCUGAUCACCUUUAUUUAGAUAUAUCAAACCAACAACAACAUGAAUAACUCUACAUGCAGAUCUUAUUCUUAUUCACAAGAAUUGCAUGAGAGAUGACAAAAGGAACAAAGGAAAAUAUUAGAGAACACAAGGUGAUACAUAGCUCCAAGUGUCUUCAGUUGUUUGAAGAAGACUAGAACUAUUCAAGAAAGCCUUUAAUUAGUUGUAGUCUAUGUGCAAUCCUCUCAAAGGAUCAUCUUCCUUCCCCUCUUCAGCCCAUCAACAUAGGUAAUUGGUGGCGCUGCAACCAGCACAAGCACAGCCUUUCCCUCCGGCGAACGCCGGCCCCCCAUGGCCCUUGGACUGCUUACGGGAGUGGCUUGCGUCGUCGACGGAGGCGAAGAUGAUCAAGGAAAUGAUCGAGAGCCACACGAUGAUGACGCAGAAGAUCACGUCGCCGCCGCUGUGGGACUCGAAAACCAGGGGCGCCAUGGCUUUGCUGUGGUUGCUUCCUUGACCUCUCCUCUGGCCUUUAGUUUGAUCCACAGCGGUCCGAAAGAGCAGUACUGUAUAUAUAGGCCUUUGAGAGGUGGUGCCCCCCUC
rnacentral:lncRNA from 1 species